AGUGAACGCUGGCGGUAGGCCUAACGCAUGCAAGUCGAACGGCAGCACAGUAAGAGCUUGCUCUUACGGGUGGUGAGUGGCGGACGGGUGAGGAAUACAUCGGAAUCUACUUUUUCGUGGGGGAUAACGUAGGGAAACUUACGCUAAUACCGCAUACGACCUACGGGUGAAAGCAGGGGAUCUUCGGACCUUGCGCGAUUGAAUGAGCCGAUGUCGGAUUAGCUAGUUGGCGGGGUAAAGGCCCACCAAGGCGACGAUCCGUAGCUGGUCUGAGAGGAUGAUCAGCCACACUGGAACUGAGACACGGUCCAGACUCCUACGGGAGGCAGCAGUGGGGAAUAUUGGACAAUGGGCGCAAGCCUGAUCCAGCCAUACCGCGUGGGUGAAGAAGGCCUUCGGGUUGUAAAGCCCUUUUGUUGGGAAAGAAAAGCAGCAGGUUAAUACCCCGCUGUUCUGACGGUACCCAAAGAAUAAGCACCGGCUAACUUCGUG
rnacentral:rRNA from 1 species